AUUGAACGCUGGCGGCAUGCCUUACACAUGCAAGUCGAACGGCAGCACGGGAGCAAUCCUGGUGGCGAGUGGCGAACGGGUGAGUAAUAUAUCGGAACGUGCCCGGUCGUGGGGAUAACGUAGCGAAAGCUACGCUAAUACCGCAUACGAUCUACGGAUGAAAGCGGGGGAUCGCAAGACCUCGCGCGAUUGGAGCGGCCGAUAUCAGAUUAGGUAGUUGGUGGGGUAAAGGCCUACCAAGGCGACAAUCCAUAGCUGGUCUGAGAGGAUGAUCAGCCACACUGGGACUGAGACACGGUCCAGACUCCUACGGGAGGCAGCAGUGGGGAAUAUUGGACAAUGGGCGAAAGACCUGAUCCAGCAAUGCCGCCGUGAGUGAUGAAGGUCUUCGGAUUGUAAAGCACUUUAAGUUUGGGAGGAAGGGCGAGUAAGUUAAUACCUUGCUGUUUGUACGUUACCAACAGAAUAAGCACCGGCUAACUUCGUGCC
rnacentral:rRNA from 1 species